rnacentral:rRNA from 1 species
ACCUUCGGGCCUCUUGCCAUCGGAUGUGCCCAGAUGGGAUUAGCUAGUAGGUGGGGUAAAGGCUCACCUAGGCGACGAUCCCUAGCUGGUCUGAGAGGAUGACCAGCCACACUGGAACUGAGACACGGUCCAGACUCCUACGGGAGGCAGCAGUGGGGAAUAUUGCACAAUGGGCGCAAGCCUGAUGCAGCCAUGCCGCGUGUAUGAAGAAGGCCUUCGGGUUGUAAAGUACUUUCAGCGGGGAGGAAGGGAGUAAAGUUAAUACCUUUGCUCAUUGACGUUACCCGCAGAAGAAGCACCGGCUAACUCCGUGCCAGCAGCCGCGGUAAUACGGAGGGUGCAAGCGUUAAUCGGAAUUACUGGGCGUAAAGCGCACGCAGGCGGUUUGUUAAGUCAGAUGUGAAAUCCCCGGGCUCAACCUGGG